rnacentral:lncRNA from 1 species
AGACACUGAAUCUGCUGGGGACUUAAUCUUGGAGUUUCCAGUCUCCAGAAUUAUAAGAAAUAAAUUUCUAUUAUUUAUAAAUUAACCAAUCUAAGGUAUUCUGUUUAGCAGCCCGAAUAAUGGACUAAGACAGACGCCUAACAUAUGAUCUAUCCUAGAUAAUGCUCUCUUCGCAUUCAGGAAGAAUGUAUAUUCUGCUUCUGAAUGGAAAAAAACAAAAUCAGGAUCAGGCACGGUGGCGCAUAAGGCCAGGAGUUUGAGACGUCUAGGCAACACAGCAAGAUCCAUUUGGUCCAAAGCUGUACGUGAAGCAUGGCCAGCAUUUGCUUCUGGUGAGGGCCUCAGGGAGCUUCCAGUUAUGGCGGAAGGCGAAGGAGAGCUGCAUCACAUGGCGACAGGAAAGAACAGAGAGGAGGAGGUGCUAGGCUUUUUCUUAGUACCCAGAUCUUGCCUGAACUAAUAGAGUAAGAACUCACUCAUAGGGUGAUGGAUCUCUGCAGUAAGUGGAAGAGUUCUUCAUGGCCCCCAAGGUUAUAUCCAUCUAGAACUUCAGCACGUAAUUUCAUCUGGAAAUAGUGCCUUUGCGGAUAUAAGUUAGGUAAAACUGAAGAUGAGAUCAUACUGGAUUAGGAUGGGAUCUAAAUCCAAUGAAAAUGUCUUCAUAAAAAACAGGAAAGAACCCAUAGAAACACAAGGAAGAAGGUCAUGUGAAGAUGGAGGCAGAGAUUGGAGGGAUGCAGCCACCGGCCCAGGAAUGCCAGCAGCCACCCAGAAGCUGGAAGGAAAUGAGGGAUUCUCUCCUAGAACCUUUAGAGAGAACAUGGUCCUGUGAACAGCUUGAUUUUGGACUUGCCCAUAGCUUGUAUACUCUUACUUUGGAUACAAUUUUAUCCAAACUUGGCUAAACAGUUUCUCAGCCUAUGGAAAAUUUAAAAUGGAGAAGAUUCAACUCGAUUCUUACAGAUUCAAAGCAAGAAAAUGAUGGGAACAUAGGAGGAGACCAAGAAAGCCUAUAAAAAGCAAAAAUAUGAAGUGAACAUUGUGGUAGCUUUAAGAUGUUUAGUGUAGCUGCAGGCACCCUAUACACAUGAAAACCCCCAAGGGGAAUCCCCAUAUCACAGUGUAGUGUGAUAUUUGACAUUCGUGAUCAUCUAGAGAUGUACAGAAAAGGUGAAUCUGUGUUCUGUAUAUUCUGCCUAAGGCAAAGAAAUGUUUAGCUCUCUUUAAAAUAGUUCCAUAAUUUUUUCUAAAAAGCUUUGCUUGAAAACUGUAAGCUUCCCAUAUCUGGAGCAUUUCACUUUAAAUAUUUGGAUAAAUAUGUUAUCUUCUUACUUGGACAUUUCAUGUGUUUAGGGAUUGUCUUCUAAAUUCUUCCUAAUUCAUAUAGCUGCUAACACUUCCCGCAGAGCUAAACCAUUACAGAUAUGAAAUAAAGACCUAUUGAUUUG